GCCCCCAUAGCUCAGGGGAUAGAGCAAGGGUUUCCUAAACCCUGUGUCGCAGGUUCGAAUCCUGCUGGGGGCG
rnacentral:tRNA from 1 species